GGCCAGGCCAUGGGCUAGGGCUUAUACAGAAAGAUGAGCAAGACAAGUCCCUGUCGGUGGCCAGGAUGCUCACAACCUCUCUGAGCAGAUGCAGUAAGGUGUGUACCCUGGGAAGAGCAUACCCUGAGAGUGUGGCUGCAGGAGGAAGUCACAAACUGUCCCAAGAAGGCAGGGAUAAGGAAGGUGAAAUCUCUGAACAACAGUCCUGAAUUCUCCUAUCACACUGAUUUGGUGGCAGCCUCUGCAAAGGGGAGUGAAUACAUGUGAUAUUUGAUGGAUUCCACCUUCACGAAUUUUGGUUGGCAACACCUGCACCCAGAGGCCUGGUAUUCUUGGCAGCCUCACUGUGAUAAGCACAAGCUGCCACUAGGUGACAGUAAGCCCCUAAGUGGCACACCCCCCCCAUCCAGGUGUGCUGUGCUUUAUCUGAAAUUGACUGCACCCCCUGAAUCCUGCACCCUCGAUCCGUUUUAAAUAUCGAAGGCAAACAUUAAAGCCUUAAUAAGAUUUGCCUUUUUAAGAAUAAUAUUAGAGCAGAAUAAAUAUAUUCAAUACAUUUUCUCACUAAUUCCACUUGAGCCAGUUAAUCCCCGUUAAUCUUAGUAGAACAUGCAUGCUACCAAGGUUGGACAUGCUACUUAACAGUGCUUUUGUUUUCUCUUCUGAAUAUUGUGGAGACUAAUAGUGCCUGCUUUUUAGGGUGAAGAUCUAGUAAUUACUCAGUAAAAGUUAGUAAUAAUCCCCCAAAUUUAUGGAUUCUUCUCCUAGUCUGAAAACUUCCUUGCAUUUUAUUUUCAGAUUCCAGGAAAACCGAUUUCAGUUUACCCUUUGGAUGCCUUUUCCCCUGGCUUCUCUGUCAAGGGCAAAAUCAUUCAGACACUCACUUUGGGCUAUUUAGAGUUCAUUCAAAGGGGUCCCCCUGUCCUUGUGGGGCUCCUGGUCAGUUGUGGGCUCAAUGCUUCCUCUGCAAUUGAUCUCCUCAAAGGCUCCCUAAUUCCUCUCCUUCACUCAGGAAAAACAGGGGCAGAGGUGAAGGUGUUAAGUCACAUACGUAAUCUCUCCCCAGUCGGAAGGAAAGUAAUAGAGAAGAGAAUCUUCCUAUCCCGUUACUAGUUGCUUGUUAACUGGCAUUCAGUUAACCAGUACUUGUGCCAGGAAAAGAUUUUCUUAGAUGCCUGUUUCUUUUCACAGAAUACUUGAAAUAAAAUUUAAAUAAGGCUCUUGUAAACAGAUUUUUUUUUUUUUGGCUUGUGUGGCAUAUGGAAGGCCAGAUGUGUGGCAUAUGGAAGUUCCCAGGCCAGGGGCCAAAUUGGAGCUGCGGCUGCCAGCCUAUGCCACAACUACAGCAACACAGGAUCUGAUCCACAUCUUCGACCUACACCACAGCUCACAGCAAUGCUGGAUCCUUGAGCCCCUGAGCGAAGCCAGGGAUCGAACCCGCAUCCUCAUGGAUACUGGUUGGGUUUGUUACUGCUGACGCACUACGGGAACUCCAGGCUCUUUGAUCUCAUGACAAUGAAAAAUAAAACAGGACACCCACAUAAUAAAAAUCAUAUGAUGUUAAACAGGACUUGAAUACUUUUACAAGCAGAAAGCUGUGAAGAGCUACGUAACUGACUUAAGUGCACACAAUGUGUGUUCACAAGUUUAGGGAAGAAGGGCAGGACUUCAACUCAGUCAGGGCUUGGAUGCUGGUAGGGUUGUUACAGGCACUUCUCUGGGCCUCAGUUUCCCCAAGUGACAAAAGAAAAUAACACUAGUCUCAUUAGUGAGGGCCUACAGUGUGCCUUAUGUAGGUAUCUUGAAUACAUUUUCUUAUCCACACAACACCCCGAACUAAGAGAUUGUUACAUAAUGUACAUUCGGCAUUAUUGUGAGAAAUAAAUACAUGUGGAAGGCAGGACAGAAGACUGUGAAGCCUCCAGCACAGGCACUCAAAUGUUUGUUUCUUUCUUUCUUUGCUUCUUCUCCCCUCAAAUCCAUGUACUUCCUUGGGUUGUUACUCUAUGGAGCUGGUAUUUUGCUCUGAGCCUCCAUGAGGAGUAUAAGUCCCAGAAGUUCAGAGAAAUUCAUCAUUGCUUGUUGAGAAGCUGAAGUGCAGAGGGUUUGCCAUGUUUAGCACUUCCUCUGAGAUACAUAGCUCCCCCUACAUGAGAGCCGGAUGGGACUGCCUACUCCCCAACACAAGAAUCAAUUGUUUAAUGACUGAGAAACUACGGGAUAUGAACACUCCUUCCUUUUUCCACCCACCAUCAUCUUGGGAGAUUCAUUUCUUUAAACAAACAUUUAUGGUACACUCAUGCCAGGAUGCUCGAUGUAGGAUUAUGGCUGUGAAUAGGUGGGUGAGAAUCUGGUCUUCAAGAGCUCCUGGUCCAAGAGGUAAGAUGACACACAGAGACCUACCUCUAAGUCAUGGUGUACUCAGGACCCCCAAAGAGAACAGCUAAGGUGCUAUGAGAGUUCACAAGAGAGAAGUAACUUGAGUGUGUUGGUGGUGGGGGUGUGGGAGAGAAAGUGGUGAUUAGGGAAGGCUUCCUGUAGAAGGCAGCCUGAAUUAGAGCAAGGAUGUCAAGAAGUAUUUACUGAGUAGCUACUGUGUGUCAAGUCCUGGCUUUAACAGAUAGGAAGGUAAGCUUUUCUCAAGAAAGGAGAAAAAUAACCCAUUUGUUUAUUCUACUGACAAAUAUUUAUCGUGCAGUGGCACCAGGAAUACAACCAUCAACAUGAUAGAUGUAGUCCCAUCAAAGAACUUACAAUUUCAGGGA
rnacentral:lncRNA from 1 species